GCGGUUUGAGCUCAGUUAAGAGAGCGUCAGGCUAAAAUCAUAUUUCAGCCUCAGUUUAUCUGAAGGUCCUGUGUUCGAUCCACAGAAAUCGCA